AUACACAGAGGCGCCUAGACAGAUACACACACGUAUAUAUAUAUAUAUUGGCGCUGCUCCCCUCUCCGUACCACACCCCAUCCCCAGUGCGCGCACACCCACACGCCAUCUCAGAUCACGACGCGUUUCUGGCCAGAGAGGGAACCAUGGGGCAGAACAUGCCAAAGCCGCCUGGCGCCGGCAAACCAGAGAAGUGGGAACCUCCUGUGGCGCCGGAGAUCGGCAAGCGCAAGAAGAAGCGUGGCCCCGACGCGGCCACGCGUAUUCCGAAGGUCUACCCGAACCGCGCCUGCCUCCUCCGAAAGUACCGCCUUGAGCGCUGCAAGGACUACCUCCUCCUAGAGGAGGAGUUCCUGCGCACGAUCAACGCCCAGCGCGACGCGCAGUCGAACCUGGAGGAGGGUGCGAUGGGCCACUACGAGGCGGAGCUGAAGCGCGUCGAGGACAUCCGUGGCACCCCGCUGGAGGUGGCGACGCUCGAGGAGGCAGUGGACGACUCGCACGCGAUCGUCUCCAUCUCUGGUACCGAGUACUACGUGCCCCUCAUGUCGUUCGUAGAUAAGGAGCAGUUAGAGCUGGGAUGCAGCGUGCUGCUGCAUGACCGGCAGCACAGCAUCGUUGGCGUGCUCAAGGACGAUGUCGACCCGCUGGUGAGUGUCAUGAAGGUGGACAAGGCGCCGGAGGACACGUACGCGGACAUUGGUGGCCUGGAGCAGCAGAUCCAGGAGAUCAAGGAGGCGGUCGAGUUUCCACUCUCCCACCCAGAGCUGUACGACGAGAUAGGCAUCAAGCCACCUAAGGGUGUCAUUCUCUACGGUGUCCCCGGCACCGGCAAGACGCUGCUGGCCAAAGCCGUCGCGAACCGCACGAGCGCCACGUUCCUGCGGGUGGUGGGGUCGGAGCUGAUUCAGAAGUACUCCGGCGAGGGCCCCAAGCUCGUGCGUGAGCUCUUCCGGGUUGCGGAAGAGCACUCGCCAGCGAUCGUUUUCAUUGACGAAAUCGACGCCAUCGGCACGAAGCGCUACGACACGGACAGCAGCGGCACCAAAGAGGUGCAGCGUACGAUGCUGGAGCUGCUCACGCAAUUGGACGGCUUCGAUAGCAGCAACGACGUGAAGGUGAUUAUGGCAACGAACCGCAUCGACACCCUCGACCCGGCCCUCAUCCGCCCUGGCCGUAUCGAUCGCAAGAUUGAGUUCCCCUUCCCAGACGAGAAGACGAAGCGCCGCAUCUUCGAAAUCCAUACAAGCCGCAUGUCACUCGCCGAAGACGUCGACAUCUCCGAGUUUAUCCACGCGAAGGAUGAGAUGAGCGGCGCGGAUGUGAAGGCAAUCUGCACAGAGGCCGGGCUGCUGGCCCUGCGUGAGCGCCGCAUGAAGGUGUGCCAAGCCGACUUUAUCAAGGGCAAGGAAAAUGUGCAGUACCGCAAGGACAAGUCGACGUUUUCGCGCUUUUACUUGUAAAGACCCCAUCACAGGAGGGGGGCGCGCACGAAGUCAGGGUGGAGUGGGAAGAUGGAAGUACGAGACACCACUGGGCGGCGCUGCUGGCUGUUUGUUCUCGUGUGCAUCUUCUCUGUGUCUACCUUCUUCGUCCUCCUCGUACACGCACACACACACACACCUUCCCUCGGUCUCUUCCACCGAUUUUCGAGCGGGCGCACUGGAGAUGCGCAUGUCUGUGCUUAGGCGCGAGAAUCAGUGCGACAGUGUGUGCGUGUGACAACGUUUCGCCCUCGCUUCUUUUUUUUUCUAUUGUUGUUUCGAACCUGUGCUGCCUCUGAUGUGUCCGUGAAGGCGUGCUCGGCAUGUCCCCUCUCUCUCUCUCUCGCUCGCUCUGUGCACUCCGUUGUAUGUGCCUUCGCCUUCUUCGUUUUAUGGAUGCAUGCGCGUGUGUUUUGUGGGUCUGCCGCUGUUGGUGCCUCGUGGCUUGCUCGUGUGCGGUUCCGUCUUUGCGCGCGAUGAUUGAUUUGAUCGGUGGCCUGGCCAGCAAAACCAUCAUCGCCGUGGGUCAUUACGGUGUGGGUGCCACGAAGCGUGUGCCCGCUGUCCGGAAAGUCGCACGCCCAUACGCACCCCCGUGCUCUCGCGACGGUGAUGUGGAACAGCCGAGAGAGGGCGCGCACAAGUGGCCAAUGCGAGCACGAGUGAGAGAAGGAACGAGAAGGGUGAAAAGAUG
rnacentral:misc_RNA from 1 species